GUUUCAGUCAGAUCAGGCUGUUUUACAGUCAACAGCAGGUGGAGGAAAACGAGACUGACUGAAGUCCAGAAGAUGAGUGAUUGUGUUGAGGAAGGAGAGGACGGAGCAGAGUCUCCAGGAUCCAGCUGUCCGUCUGAACCUCCAGACUUCAGUAAUGAACCUGGACCCUCAGACACAGAAGGGAGAAAGAGGAGUCUUCUGUGGAGGAGCAGCUGUCCUGCUGUACUCUGUGUCAGGACCUCCUGAAGGAUCCAGUCUCUACCAGCUGUGGACACUGCUUCUGCAGGCAGUGCAUCACCUCAUACUGGGACCAGUCUGGUUCAUCAGGAGACUCCUCCUGUCCCCAGUGUGGCAAAAGAUCCAGAACAAGAUCUCUACUGCAGACAAUCAGUCCGACCAGCACUGUACAAAAUCUGCAGGAGGUUUUAGAUGAACAUAAGAUCAGCCUGAGGAGGAGAUGUGAACGUGUGACUGAAGGAACUGAUGAAACAGGAAGUAGAACCCUCCUCAACAAGAUCUACACUGAGCUCUACAUCACAGAGGGACGGAGUGAAGAGGUUAAUACCCAACAUGAGGUGACUCUGUUGUCAAACUGUACCCAACUACAGCAGACAGGAAGCCGGAUGUCUCUGAAGACAACACAGAGCUGAUGAAGCCCCCAUCAAGCUUCACACCUGAACAGCAAACUGAAUCUGCACAAGUCUCAUACAGUCCGUCUCACUGAAGACACAAGGAGAGAUGUAGAGAAAGACAUGAGGAGAGAGGAAUCAAGGAAAGUCCUGAGUCCUUUCCUCUUGAACCCUCAUCUGAAGCGACAUCUGAUGAUGACAGCACAGCUGGAUCAGCUUGUCUUUUCUUGAUUUGGACUUUGUAUUUGCAUAUACAUGCACAGUCCAAUAACGACACUGACCAGCCUUUCAAAGGCCUGGUCCAAACAAUCUUCCCAAGAACCGUCAGGUCCAGCAUCAUGAUUUGUCAGGUGAAUACAGAGCAUGAUGUCCAGUCUCAUGGUGGAAGAGGGACUUUACCUGUCUCUCCAGGUCUGCUGCCAGCCUCUCCCUCAAAGUCAACUGGUUACAACCAGCUGCGGCCCUCAGAGAAUAAGCAGUAUAGCUCACAGAUAAUUGAUGCUUUCCCUUCUACUACUCUGCAUCUCCAGGCUGCUCACAAGAGCCUCCACAGGCACAGCAAAGACACACACACACACACACUAAGAUGUUCAACCAAUAUUUAUGCCUAAUAGUCUUGACUGAGCACAAAUAGCAUCACUGAUGUUUAUGUGUGCUCACUUAAAAAGCCACUGCAGCAACAAUACAGAUGUUACAUGCACUGACUACUGGGUGGUGGCUUUGGUAUGUGAUUUCAAAACUAAGCGGAAACUCCAGUUGUUUCUGUUGUUUGCCUACACUUUCUCUCCUUUGUUCUCUGGUCCCUCUGGACUCGUGAAGUCUGAUCAGCACAGUUUUUAGCCCAAGCUAAAACAUUUUCAUCUCAGGGUUUAACAGGUUUGUUGUGGUCACUCAGUCAUCUGUGUCCUGCAGGUUCAGGUGUCCUAGUCCAGGUGGGUUCCAGUGUACUUCGACAGGACUGGUGUUUGUUGUGGAUCAGGAGGUGGAGCUGCUCUACAGGACCGUCCAAUGGGACGUGAGCCUCCUCUAGUCAGCUGGCAAGACACCUGCAGGGCCUCUGUUCAAUAUCCAGUGUCCUGAGGGUGCUGUCUGCGAGCUCCACCUCCCACACUGUGAAACAAAGGAUGCGUUGCUCAUGUGGUUGUGAAGGUCCCUCACCUCUCUGCCUUUGGCCUGGUCUGGGAUAUGAUUAAACGGUUUUUGAACAUCACACUGCCAGUAGAGGGUCAAGUUCUGCUGUUCCUGCGACCUCCCGGCUCCUCCAGUUCCCGGUAUUCUUGGGCAAGAUACUGAACCACAUAUUGUCCCUGAUGUAGCAUCAGAAAAUGAAGAAUAGUGUGUAUGUGUUAGAGGGACACUGUAUAUAUAUGUAUAUAUAUAUAACAGCUUGGUCAGUCUAACUGACUGGCCUUCCAACCAUCUUAACCGGUUUGACCAGCUGGGCUUUGCUGGUCAGUCCACGCAGCCACUUGGCCAGUCAGCUUGACCAGCAGACUCAAGCAAGACCAGUUUGGUGACCAGCCAGGCCAGCUAUUCUAAGGAAACAGCAAGACCAGCCUGACCAGCUUCUCCAGCCUGUUAAACCAGCUAAACUAGCCUAACACUAGCUAAGACCAGCUAAAACCAGCAAACACCUUAAGCUGGCCUAAGCAGGUCUUUUAUGUGAAUAUAAACUCUGAGGAUUUGGUAGUUAAUAAAUUCAGUCACAUUAUUGAUCUUGCAUCUCUGAAAGAAUGAAAUAAAAAAUUGCAACAAUUACAAAGCAAACUAAAAUAAAAUCAGUCUGUUCAAGUGAUACUGAUUAUUUAUUAAUUCAGUCAUUUCUAGUUGGUCUUAUGCAAAUUUCAUAAGAACCACCUGUCAAUUUCAUCUUCAUACUGUAUAUUUAUUGAAGCUAUUUAUCUUUGUAGUGAUGUCUCACUGUGCUCACAAUUUCUGUGACUAACUCAGCACCUGCUGAUGUCUCACUCUGCUCCAAAUUUAGUUAAAAGAUGUUUAUCUCACAGCUUUUGGCACGCUUCAUAAUAAAUCAGAUGAAUCUUCACUAACAAUAAAACUACAGAUGGAAAAACCCAGAAAUGGGAGAGAAAGAGAGAGAGAGAGAGAGAGAGAGA